UGCAGUCGAGCGGCCGCANCAUACGGCAGCGGCAGACGGGAGAGUCACCGUGGGAACGCGCCCUUCGGUUCGGAAUAACUCAGGGAAACUUGGGCUAAUACCGGAUACGCCCUUACGGGGAAAGAUUUAUUGCCGAAGGAACGGCCCGCGUCCGAUUAGCUUGUUGGUGAGGUAACGGCUCACCAAGGCGACGAUCGGUAGCUGGUCUGAGAGGAUGACCAGCCUCACUGGGACUGAGACACGGCCCAGACUCCUACGGGAGGCAGCAGUGGG
rnacentral:rRNA from 1 species